rnacentral:ncRNA from 2 species
AUUACUUGAAAAUAAAAUAUCCAUAUAUUUCUGAUAAUAUGGUUCAGAAGUUUCUACGAGAAACCGUAAAUUUCUUGCUAUGGGUAAUCCAAUAAUAAAU